AAAAUUCAAGCUUGGGCUUCGAAUGUUUGAGCCCGAACUUGUCCUAUAUUUUAAAUGGGACUAAAUUUGAGGUGGAUAUUUAGAUUUGGUUGGGUAGCAUGGCCCGUAAAAUAGGUGUAUACCUGAUGAUGUAAAAACAAAACGGAGGAUUUCCGUUAGCUCUAGUAUGGGAGAUAUCAGAUGUAUACAACAAGAGGGGAACUCUUGAACAACCUUGGAGUUAAACGGAGCAUUGAGAAUGAAAAGUAUUUAGGCAUUCCUUUGUUGUUGGGUUGGAUAGAUGAAUGUUAAUAAAGGAUUAGAUAAAGAGAAUAUACGAAAGAGUAUUAUUACAAUUAGUAUAAGUUAUGUAGUGGGUGUUGAAUUUGUUCUUCGCAUUCCUAUUAGUAUGAUUUAUGAGGAAUUCUCAUUGUUCGACCAAGGCCGUAUUAGGACAGGGAAAUGUGGUACCUAAGGUGGAAAGUUAUACAUGGAGCUGUUUGCGUAUGGGAUAUUGCCUACUACAUAUGAUUUACAAAGGAUGAGGCUUUAGUUGCAAUGAGAUGAGAAUAAAAAAUUAGUGUAGUAUUAAGGACGUUAAGUUAAAAUGUAUAUAUAAUUAAAUAUCAAAAUAUUUUAUAAAUUAAAUAACAAAAUAUAAUUAUGUUAAAUUAUAAAUAAAAAUUAUAAAAAAUUAUUUAUAUUAUAUUAUAUAAUAAUAUAUUAGGAUUAUGUUAUUUAUAUUAAAUAAAAAUAUAUUUAUAUUUAUACUUAAAACAAAAUAAAUAAUAAUAAUAAGUAAAGAAUUGAGAGGAUAAGAAGAUACCUUUAUUUUGGAGCUUCCUAUCUGUUCGUUGGUCCUUGGAACUCCUAUCAAAAUUUUGUGGUCGUUUCAUUGGUGGUGUGCCAAUCACACCAAUAUAUGGCUAGGUUUAUGUUGGGAAAUUUUACACUUUGAAAAUUUAACGCAUUGAAGGCACCAUUGAUAUAAAUGGGCCUUUAAACUCUGAUACUUAACAAUGUGCUAUUAAAUCAUUGAUAUAAAAAGAGACAGAAAAAUUAAAUGGGGUUAAAAUGAUUAUUUUUAUAAAUUUUGAGGACAAAAAAAGUUAUUAUGCCUAUAUAAAAGGAAGAAAUGACCAUGUCUUGGGGAUUGUAGAGGGAAAAUUUAAAGGGUAAGAGCUUUAAGAAGCAACGUUUUGGAAAUAUAUAGAUGACAUAUUAAUAGGUUUACAUUGAACCGACCCAGCUGUGUAGUAAGCGUGUAUUUAGCUGCUUGGAAAAUUGGAAAGGAAUUGAAUGGUAGGUUGAGAGGACUAGGCCCCUUGGGCCUUCACACGCUGCUUCACUCGGUUUGCCCACGCUUUUAUAAUUGGUUGUGUGCCAAACUGAAAAUCCAAAAGCCAACGAUCCUCCCCGGCAUAUUCUCGCUGCCCACUUGCAAUCAAUGGAUGCGCCCAC
rnacentral:lncRNA from 1 species